GCUCCUUGGCCAGGGAAGGAGGCGGGAUCUGCUUGCCAGCGGGCGUCUCCGCUUAGCGCUCUCUCCAGAAACCGCUGGGCAGUCUCCUGGGUGAGCGCCAGACGCCUGGGGUCCGUUUGCCGCCUGCUGAGACUAGACAAGGACCCCGGGAGGGCGACGUUGGGGGAGAGGGCUACGGAUGGAGGUCCCGCCGCGCUUGGGCCGGGUCCGGAGCCACCAGGACGCACAGCGGGUUUCCCUCAUUCUCAGUCAGGUGGUUGAGUUAUCCAAGCCUUCAUAACCAGAGGGUCUGAGCACUUGUUGGACUGUGCUUACUGCAGCUUCUCAUUUACAAUUACCACUGCACCUGAGAGUACCAAGAGAUUCCUGAGCCAGAGAUUACGAUUUCCAACUUCCAGCUCCUCAAGGUUUCAAUAUCAGGAUGAUGCCAGCCUCAUAAAAUGAGUUAGGGAGGAGUCUGAGAGGAGCUAUUAGAGCUUUACAGGGAUAUGGAUGAAGCUGGAAACCAUCAUUCUCAGCAAACUAUCGCAAGGACGAAAAACCAAACACCACAUGUUCUCACUCAUAGGUGGGAAUUGAACAAUGAGAACACUUGGACACAGGAAGGAGAACAUCACACACCGGG
rnacentral:lncRNA from 1 species